rfam:Cryptococcus pinus CBS 10737 unplaced genomic scaffold supercont1.10, whole genome shotgun sequence.
GCCUGGCUGGCCCAAUCGGUUAAGGCACCCGACUCUUAUCUAACUUGCUUCUACAGCAUGGAAGGUUAAUCGGGCGAUUGUGGGUUCGAGUCCCACGUCGGGCU